rnacentral:sRNA from 1 species
ACGCAUCGGUAUGUAUUUCCAUAGGAAGC